CGGGGCGUAGCGCAGUUUGGAAGCGCACCUGAAUGGGGUUCAGGGGGUCGGAGGUUCAAGUCCUCUCGCCCCGACCA
rnacentral:tRNA from 6 species